UUACUUGCACAAACCAUCUCUUCAACCCAUCUAUCUCCUAUCACAGGUAAAAUAAAAAAAGUUUAGCAACCAAACAUAUUGCAUGUCAAAGAUUUGGUUCAAAAGCAUGCAACAACUAAUUCACAUUCCACUUUGCUGAAGCCGAAACGUAUGAUUGGAUCAUACUGAUGCUGAAUAAUCAUUUUCACCAUUUUAAAUAUGUCACUAUCCUUGCCCGCUUUACCAACAACUAAUCUUUUCUGCCAUUUUUCGCUCUCUCCCUUAUUCUAUCACCUUCAAUGAUGGGAAAGGGCGCAUAUCCUCAUGACUUUCCUUUUUCAUCAACAGCUAAAUACAGACCAUUGCCUCUAGAAGAGAAGAUAUAGUGUUGAAGGGAUGUUGUUAGGUAAUCAGUAUAAACAAUAUAUCCUGGUUGUUGGUGAACCUGCAUUUUGGGAUACAACGUUCAUACCAUCAUGCAUGCUUGUAAAAUUUAAAUAAAACAGGUAUAAUUCAGAGGACUAUUAAUUUGACAAAUUGGUCAUAUUUUCAUUCUCCAAAAAAUUUAUCAUUGGCAAGGAUAUCUCAAUACUUUUUUCAAUGAGAAAGCAGUGUUGCUAACACGUAUUUGUGUUCACAAGUCACAUAAUUUAUCAAAUGCAAAAUGUAAG
rnacentral:lncRNA from 1 species